rnacentral:rRNA from 1 species
CGGGGGGCAGCAGUGGGGAAUAUUGGACAAUGGGCGAAAGCCUGAUCCAGCAAUACCGCGUGUGUGAAGAAGGCCUUCGGGUUGUAAAGCACUUUAAGUUGGGAAGAAAAAACUUCAAUUAAUACUUGAAGUCUUGACGGUACCGACAGAAUAAGCACCGGCUAACUCUGUGCCAGCAGCCGCGGUAAUACAGAGGGUGCUAGCGUUAAUCGGAUUUACUGGGCGUAAAGCGUGCGUAGGCGGUUUGAUAAGUCGAUUGUGAAAGCCCUGGGCUCAACCUAGGAAUUGCGGUCGAUACUGUCAGACUAGAAAACGGUAGAGGGAGGCGGAACUCCAGGUGUAGCGGUGAAAUGCGUAGAUAUCUGGAAGAACACCGAUGGCGAAGGCAACCUCCUGGGCCUGUUUUGACGCUGAGGCACGAAAGCGUGGGUAGCAAACAGGAUUAGAUACCCCGGU